UCUGGUUUGUGUUGCUUCUUAUUUGGAAUUCAAUUUUUCUGUAGCUCUGAGACUACUACAACUUAAGAUGCAGUAGUGUAUGGUGAUGGAUUUUCUUCGGAGAAUAGAGAGAAUGUCAAGAAAGAUGCUGCAAUAACUGAAAUCGGAGAUGCUACUUCAUCAGAUGAGAAAACAGUCGAGCUGGGACCAUUAGUUUAUGAGAGCAAAGCGGAGGCAAAGAGUGCAUUCAAAACUCUUUUGGAAU